UUGUCAAAACACAAAACAAAAAUGACUUCGCGAGAAUCACAUGCGUCAGAUAAAACUAAUAUGUUUGAAGACCAAUGUCAGUCGAAUGAUUUAUCAUGUGGAAUGAACAUUCGUUUUCAGUUGAGUGUAUAGAAAUACAUCAAAAUGUUAAGAGCUCAUUCGAUGCUUGUAAGACGAUAUACUUACGUGAAAAAACGUGAAAUUAACGUGAAAAUUAACAUUUUUGUUUAAGAUUAUUCAAGUAGGCAGUUAGUUUAUUUAUCGUAGCUAGAUCCUAAAAACUUCUAGUAAAUCACUCGUGAAUUCCAAAUCACUUAACAAAUCGUUAGUAACUCGACUAGUUCCAGUCAUCUUGUUUCGUUUUUCUGCAUACUGGAAAAUCACGUAACACAAACAUGAUUGUCAAAACUCAAAACAAAAAUGACUUCGCGAGAAUCACAUGCGUCAGAUAAAACUAAUAUGUUUGAAGACCAAUGUCAGUCGAAUGAUUUAUCAUGUGGAAUGAACAUUCGUUUUCAGUUGAGUGAAUGAUUCUGUACACUAAGAAUCGGCAGCGAAGUCUGUUGACACGGAAAGGCCAAACUCCACAAAAGGAAUGUAAUGCUUUUUUGAGACAGUACUCGCAUAUAUCGCACGUUACCCUAUCAAAAACAUCCUGUCUGUCAUCUAGACUGUGUUUAUUUUUUCAUUUACCAAUAGAGUUGCCAUUCAUACAGAAUUACUUGUAAUGUAUUGAUUUGUAUACGUCCAUCCGAAUUUCAGAUUUAAUACAUAUUGCCAAAACUAAAUACAGAAUUGUGUUUACUUCUC